rnacentral:rRNA from 1 species
CAAGUCGAGCGAACAGACGAGGAGCUUGCUCCUCUGACGUUAGCGGCGGACGGGUGAGUAACACGUGGAUAACCUACCUAUAAGACUGGGAUAACUUCGGGAAACCGGAGCUAAUACCGGAUAAUAUAUUGAACCGCAUGGUUCAAUAGUGAAAGACGGUUUUGCUGUCACUUAUAGAUGGAUCCGCGCCGCAUUAGCUAGUUGGUAAGGUAACGGCUUACCAAGGCAACGAUGCGUAGCCGACCUGAGAGGGUGAUCGGCCACACUGGAACUGAGACACGGUCCAGACUCCUACGGGAGGCAGCAGUAGGGAAUCUUCCGCAAUGGGCGAAAGCCUGACGGAGCAACGCCGCGUGAGUGAUGAAGGUCUUCGGAUCGUAAAACUCUGUUAUUAGGGAAGAACAAAUGUGUAAGUAACUAUGCACGUCUUGACGGUACCUAAUCAGAAAGCCACGGCUAACUACGUGCCAGCAGCCGCGGUAAUACGUAGGUGGCAAGCGUUAUCCGGAAUUAUUGGGCGUAAAGCGCGCGUAGGCGGUUUUUUAAGUCUGAUGUGAAAGCCCACGGCUCAACCGUGGAGGGUCAUUGGAAACUGGAAAACUUGAGUGCAGAAGAGGAAAGUGGAAUUCCAUGUGUAGCGGUGAAAUGCGCAGAGAUAUGGAGGAACACCAGUGGCGAAGGCGACUUUCUGGUCUGUAACUGACGCUGAUGUGCGAAAGCGUGGGGAU